rnacentral:rRNA from 1 species
GUUGGAACGACUGCUAAUACCGGAUGUGCCGAGAGGUAAAAGAUUUAUUGCCUGGAGAUGAGCUCGCGUCUGAUUAGCUAGUUGGUGUGGUAAGAGCGCACCAAGGCGACGAUCAGUAGCUGGUCUGAGAGGAUGAUCAGCCACACUGGGACUGAGACACGGCCCAGACUCCUACGGGAGGCAGCAGUGGGGAAUUUUCCGCAAUGGGCGAAAGCCUGACGGAGCAAUACCGCGUGAGGGAGGAAGGCUCUUGGGUUGUAAACCUCUUUUCUCAAGGAAUAACAAAAUGAAGGUACUUGAGGAAUAAGCAUCGGCUAACUCCGUGCCAGCAGCCGCGGUAAUACGGAGGAUGCAAGCGUUAUCCGGAAUGAUUGGGCGUAAAGGGUCCGCAGGUGGCAAUGUAAGUCUGCUGUCAAAGAAUGAGGCUCAACCUCAUCAAGGCAGUGGAAACUACGUAGCUAGAGUACGGUCGGGGUAGAAGGAAUUCCUGGUGUAGCGGUGAAAUGCGUAGAGAUCAGGAAGAACACCGGUGGCGAAAGCGUUCUGCUAGGCCUGUACUGACACUGAGGGACGAAAGCUAGGGGAGCGAAUGGGAUUAGAUACCCCAGUUAGUCA